UAGAGUUUGAUCAUGGCUCAGGAUGAACGCUAGCGGCAGGCUUAACACAUGCAAGUCGAGGGGUAUUGGUUCUUCGGAACCGAGAGACCGGCAAACGGGUGCGGAACACGUACACAACCUACCUUUAUCAGGGGAAUAGCCCAGAGAAAUUUGGAUUAAUGCCCCAUAGUAUUAUUGAAUGGCAUCAUUUGGUAAUUAAAGAACUUCGGAUAGAGAUGGGUGUGCGUAAGAUUAGCUAGUUGGUAAGGUAACGGCUUACCAAGGCGACGAUCUUUAGCUGAUGUGAGAGCAUGAUCAGCCACACGGGCACUGAGACACGGGCCCGACUCCUACGGGACGCAGCA
rnacentral:rRNA from 1 species